UCGAGCGGUAAGGCCUUUCGGGGUACGCGAGCGGGGAACGGAUGAGUAACACGUGGAUGAUCUGCCCUGCACUUCGGGAUAAGACUGGGAAACUGGGUCUAAUACCGCCUAUGACCUCCUAUCGCAUGGCGGGAGGAGGAAAGAUUUAUCGGUGCAGGAUGGGCCCGCGGGCUAUCAGCUUGUUGGUGGGGGAAUGGGCUACCCAGGCGACGACGGGGAGCCGACCUGGAAGGGUGACCGGCCACACUGGGACUGAGACACGGCCCAGACUCCUACCGGAGGCGCAGGGGGGAAUAUUGCACAAUGGGCGAAAGCCUGAUGCAGGGACUCCGCGUGAGGGAUGACGGCCUUCGGGUUGGAAACCUCUUUCAGCAGGGACGAAGCGCAAGUUACCUUACCUGCAGAAGAAGCGCCGGUUAACUACGUGCCAGCACCCGCGGAAAUACGUACGGUGCAAGCGUUGUCCGGAAUUACUGGACGUAAAGAGUUCGUAGCUGGGUUGUCGCGUCGUUUGUGAAAACCAGCAUGUCAACUGCUGGCUUGCCGGCGAUACGGGCAGACUUGAGUACUGCAGGGGAUACUGGAAUUCCUGGUGAAACGGCGAAAUGCGCAGAUAUCAGGAGUGAACACCGGCGGCGAAUGCGGGUCUCUGGGCAGUAACUGACGCUGAGUAACGAA
rnacentral:rRNA from 1 species